rnacentral:rRNA from 1 species
CAGUCGCCGCGGGAAAACGGAGGGUGCAAGCGUUAAUCGGAAUUACUGGGCGUAAAGCGUGCGUAGGCGGUUCGUUAAGUCUGUUGUGAAAGCCCCGGGCUCAACCUGGGAAUGGCAAUGGAUACUGGCGAGCUAGAGUGUGUCGGAGGAUGGUGGAAUUCCCGGUGUAGCGGUGAAAUGCGUAGAGAUCGGGAUGAACAUCAGUGGCGAAGGCGGCCAUCUGGGACAACACUGACGCUGAGGCACGAAAGCGUGGGGAGCAAACAGGAUUAGAUACCCCGGUAGUCCCUGUCUCUUAUAC